CUCAGCCCAGGCUGGAGCAGCAGCAGCUGGGGCUCUGCAGCAGAUGAGCUCGCGGAGGAGACGGAGAGCAGGUCCCUGAAACACCUAGAGCUCCAGCUGCAUCGGGCCCUCGUUGUGCUGAGGGAUAUACAGAUGCAUAGUUCCUGCCCUGAAGAGCGUGCAAUCAAGCAGACACAUCAGCAAGAAGGACUGUUACAAUUUGACAGAUGAGGGAAGUGAAACCAAAGCAAAGUGAUUUUUUCCAAGCUCACAAAGCAAAUCCAUGUCAAAGUUGGGGAUCAAACAUAGGUCCAAUUCAGGCCCUGAAACAUAAGACCGUCCCUUGAUAUGUUAUAUCAAUAUUAAAGCUUGAUGGUCCUUUCGCACCCAC